rnacentral:rRNA from 1 species
AACACGUAAAGAACCUGCCCUCAGGUCUGGGAUAACCACGAGAAAUCGGGGCUAAUACCGGAUGGGUCAUCGGACCGCAUGGUCCGAGGAUGAAAGACGCUUCGGCGUCGCCUGGGGAUGGCUUUGCGGUGCAUUAGCUAGUUGGUGGGGUAAUGGCCCACCAAGGCGACGAUGCAUAGCCGACCUGAGAGGGUGAUCGGCCACACUGGGACUGAGACACGGCCCAGACUCCUACGGGAGGCAGCAGUAGGGAAUCUUCCACAAUGGACGAAAGUCUGAUGGAGCAACGCCGCGUGAACGAUGAAGGCCUUCGGGUCGUAAAGUUCUGUUGUAAGGGAAGAACAAGUGCCGCAGGCAAUGGCGGCACCUUGACGGUACCUUGCGAGAAAGCCACGGCUAACUACGUGCCAGCAGCCGCGGUAAUACGUAGGUGGCAAGCGUUGUCCGGAAUUAUUGGGCGUAAAGCGCGCGCAGGCGGCCUCUUAAGUCUGAUGUGAAAGCCCCCGGCUCAACCGGGGAGGGCCAUUGGAAACUGGGAGGCUUGAGUAUAGGAGAGAAGAGUGGAAUUCCACGUGUAGCGGUGAAAUGCGUAGAGAUGUGGAGG